rnacentral:lncRNA from 1 species
AUUUUUUUAUAGCAUUGUAUUCUCUCUAAGAUCAAUUAUAUGUAUGCCCAUGUGCUUGUCAGCCACACUUUUUCAGUCCACCAAGAAUUGAUUCAAUGCGGGAUAAAACUGUUAACGUGUAUGAGACAUUUCUAGGUUUUAGUAGUAUUGAUUUUGAAGAGAAAGAGAAAUCAAUACAAAUAUACUAAACAUGAAUGAAUUCACCCGAAACUAGAGAUUUAGGUAGUUUAUAAACAUGAAUGAAAAUUGAGUUCAAGAUUUUAUGGACCUUAUUCAAUCAUAGAGAUAGAGAAGAAUGGAGCACAACUACAAGAGAAAUACCAUUUUCUUCUGUGUUUCUGGUCCAGUUCUAUCACCACCACCCCAAUUCAAACAUGCUUAAUUCAUAAUUAACUUAAAAACAUGCACCCGAAAUUUGCAUGAUUGGAGGACCGAAGAGAACAAAGUAUUGCAAGCUAAGUUACACAAGAUAAAUAAAACAAUCUCAUAAAAAUUCAUUCACUCAAACAAAAAUCUGCUUUCAACAUUUCCAGGAAAAGGAGGACAGGAUGAAAUUUUGUGGUAGAGCUAAAAGGUUACAACACAAUUGAUAAAACAAUUAACCAAGAAAAACAAAUGCAUGAACAAAUAUCAAGAAACAGGGAAGCUCCCAAAUGAUGCAAGCUUACACUGGGGACAAGAACAGGAAGCCUGAGAUGAUGUUUCCUGAAGUUAAAAAGAACAAACCGUGGGGACAUAGAUCAUCAAGAAUGAAAAAUAUGGAUUAUGAUAUAUGAUACAAAUUAAAAAGUUCAUAAAGAAAUUAAUUUGAUCAACGUACCUAUGAUACCAACUACUGUUCGAGCAAUAUCAUCUGUUGUUGCUGCAGUCAUGGUUAUAUCAGAACGAAAGAAUGUUUUAAUUUGUUUUGUGAGUAUAUAUGAUCAGUGAAUGAAUAUAUCUAUAUAUAUUAGAGUCGGUGAAUAAAGGAGAGAGUAGUUCCAAAAUAAAACUAAUUGUAUUAUAUGCUGAAUAAAUCAGCUGGUUGAUCACAUGCAUGACAUGUGUUGGGGUGUGUACGUAACAAGUUGCUACAAUCAAAGGGAUAUAUAUAGAGAACCAGAAAGAUUUUUGUCACUGUCUCAAAUCUGUAGUACUAAUACUACCACUGAGAUGCUUCAGACCCUACUUAGCAAACGCCACAGUUAUCAGAAAGCGACUUGCGCUAACUUUCAAUUCUUUCACGGUAAAAGUAACAAAAUAUUACUUCUAAAAUUAGAUAACAAACCUUUGUGGUAACUUGGGCAAUUAUUAUUGGACAUGGGACAUGUCAUUACAAGGUCAACUUUUGAAAUGUCAAGUAACCAAUUACCUCAAAAACUUAAAUUAUUGGCUAAGGACCACAUGAAUGAUUUUAUAAUAUAUAUAUUCAAACACACUCUUUUAUGCAAGAGCCUUUUGUGCUUGAAGCGUGGAUAAAUGCACAGUUCCACCCUACCAUGUGCUUAAAUUCUAAUUUUUAAUUAGAAAGUGAUGGGAGCAAAGAUUGAACUUUAGACCGCUAAGUCAUAGAGACUCUAACAUCAUGUUAGGGAACCAAUUAUCCUAAUAGCGUAGGGCCACAUGAAUGGUUUCAUAAUAUAUUUUAACAUGAAGAAAGUAGAAUUAUUUUAUUUAUUUUUAAAUAAGCUCUCAAGAAAGUAGAGUGAAAUUGAUUGUAAGACACACUUCACUGCUUAAGACCCGGCUCCUUGCCUUGGAAUCAUUUUCCUUAUUUACCCUAUUUAACUCUUUUGUGUUCACAAGUUUUGGAUGCAUAAGAAUGAGGACCAAGUACUAAAUUGCAGAGAUGGUUCCUUUGUCCUUCAAGUGAACACAAAAGCUCGAACUUAACAGGCAUGAGGUGUUUUGAGGAAAAAAUAAUUCGAGGUUAAUUUUAUCAAUUACCAUUUACCGCCUUGUCUUUAUAAUGCUUUUGCCAAUCUGAUAGCAACCAUUCCAACUUUAAUCUCUUUGGUAUGACAGCAAUUGUAUCUAAUUUAUAUUUAUAGUUAGUUAAUGGACCCAUGAACAUAAAAUUCAUCCCUAAUUCACAUUUAGUUACGACAAAAUGAGACUGUCUAAAUGAUUCAUGAGAUUGCAAUCAUAUAGGAGAUAAGUGAGUUAUAUUUUUUAUGUUUUAUAUAUUAAUUUAUUUAUAAAAAAAAUUCAUUGAUCCAUUAAAUUAUGGAUUAGUAACUCACAUGGAUUAUUUAGAAAAUCCUAGAUAGUAAAAGUUCACUAUUGAAAAAGUUUCUAGCUUUUACAUGUGCAAAUAAAAGAUGAGAUAAUGUUGGUUGAGAUUUUUUCUUUUGGGGGUCAAAAUGUUGGGUGAGAUUGUCUGCCGAUAAAAUAAGAUAAAAAUUGAUUGAAGACAUGAGUGAUUGUAUUUUCCUCCUGUAACCAAAAAGACAUGAGUGAUUGUGAUUUACAAAGGACGAAAUAAAUUGCGUCAUCAACAUAAUAAUUAAGUAAAGUUGCUUGUCUAAUUAUUGGUAAACCAGUAUACAAAAUGAAAUUGACUUUCUUUUGAAGCAUGUGUUCUUUGAAGCUUCCAUAACAUGGUAACCCACUACGACAACACAACACUUAAUAAGAAUCUAAUCCAACACUUUUAUCUAGUCCAAAAAGAAGAAAAUAGAACACAUAAUGUUAGAAGAAAAGUAGCACAUGUAGGGAAUAUAUAAGGUUCACUUGAAGCGUAAUUAUAAUUUGAUUCCUACAUUGGUUCCAUUCUUCUAUGGCCAAUUCUGUGGUGGCCAAUUAUGAGAAAUGGAGUGCAAUGGUUAUGACUUGCUGGUGUUCGAUUAAAGUUAUGAUUCAUUCACACUUUUUAUUAUAUUUCACUUUAUUUCUACUUUCAUGUUCUAUUUGUUUCUAUCUUCACUUUCAAUCAAACCAUUUAUCACAUCUCUUAUAUCACAUCUUCACUUUUAUUCAAACCAUUUCACUCUAUUUCCACUUAAAGAAAGUGUAAAUGGAACUUUUUCCUUUUCUUUAGUAGCUAAUCCUCAACAGUAGACCAAUAUGAAGUAGUGAAUGCAUGUCUUGUUUUUUUCAAAGAGAUUCAUCAUUCAUUCAUACAAGCAAUACGUAAAGAGAUUCAUUCAUACAAUCAAUACAUAACAGCCUUAAUGGGCCAUCAAACAAACCACAAACAGAAACAGAUAGAUACUUCACUCAGUGUGGCUACAACCUAAAGUGCAAACAUAAGGACAAAUAAACUAGCUUCGUGGGCUCUGAAUCAAAACAAUGGCCCACACAUUUAACCUGGACCAGAGUUUUGGUUCAAUACAAACUAUAAUAUUUUUUUAGGGCCUGUUUGGUGCGACGUAUAGUAUAAGGCUUUAUAGUAUAAGACCUGAUAGUAUUAAGCAUGAUAGUAUAAGCCCUGAUAACUUUCUUAUACUAUCCAGCGUUUGGUCAUACUCUGUAUAAUUUACCAUAUCGUUUAAAUUAAUGCAAUUUUAUGUUUAAUGAAGUAUUGAAUAAUGAUAUAUAAUAAAAAUCAAAUAUGAAGGUGAUUAUAACGGUGGUGGCGGUGGUGAUGAAAGUGGUGGUAGGUUAGUGUUGGUGGCGGCGGUGGUGAUAGUGGAGAUAGGUUGGUGGUGGUGGUGGUGGUAAGGCGGUGGCGGCUGCGCUAGGGUGGCGGCUACGGUGGAGGGUGGAGGCAAUGGUGACGAUAAGGUGGUGGUUGUGGUGUCGGUGGUGGCGGUGGCGGCAACACCGGUGGUGGCAGUACGAUGGUGGUGGCGGUGGUGGUGAUCGGGAGGUGGCGGUGGUGGCAACGAUGGUGGUUGUGGUGUUGACGACGAUAGGGUGGUGGUGGUGGUGGUAAGGCGGUGGCGGCGACGGUGGAGGGUGGAGGCAAUGGUGGUGGUGGUGGCGAUAGGGUUGUGGUGUCGGUGGUGGCGGUGGCGGCAACACCAGUGGUGACGGUAGGGCGGCGACGGUGGUGAUCGGGUGGCGGCAACACCGGUGGCGGUGGUGGUGUAAGUUGGCAGCAAUGGAUGGUGGUGGUGAUGGUGACUUAUACGUCACAACUUUAUCAUGCAUUAUCCAUCACUCACAUGAUGGAUUAAAUAAUACGUCAUUUUAACGUAUAAGGAGACUUUGAUGGAUAAAAUUAUACAAUACAAUGUCAUCACCAAACAAUGGAUAAACUCAUAAUGUAUUGUAUAAGCUUAUACUAUCAUGCCUAAUACGGUGUGCGAAACAAGCCCUUAGUGACCAAAAAAAAAAACUAUAAUGUUUUCAGUGAAAUAUCUCCUUUUAAAUAAAUGUAUGAAAGAUUGACCAAAAAUAAAUUGUAUGAAACGGCUGACCAAAAUAAUCUAUGAUGGAAGGGAACUACUAUACCUUCUAAAUUGGAGGCAAUUAUCUUCUAAUUAUAGAAAGGGAUGCACUAUCAGACGAGUUAAGAAGAUCUAAGAGCAUAUGCUAUUGCUCAUAGAAGACGAGUGGAGUUUUCAGAUGGAGAUCAAGUCUUUUUUUGAAACAACAACCUUAUACACAGAAAUCAUUGGCCAAAAGAUUGAAUGAAAAUUGAGUACAAGAUUUUAUGGACCUUAUUCAAUCAUAAAGAAGAAUGGAGCACAACUACAAGAGAAAUACCAUUUUCUUCUGUUUCUGGUCCAGUUCUAUCACCACCACCCCAGUUCAAACAUGCUUAAUUCAUAAUUAACUUAAAAACAUGCACCCGAAAUUUGCAUGAUUGGAGGACCGAAGAGAACAAAGUAUUGCAAGCUAAGUUACACAAGAUAAAUAAAACAAUCUCAUAAAAAUUCAUUCACUCAAACAAAAAUCUGCUUUCAACAUUUCCAGGAAAAGGAGGACAGGAUGAAAUUUUGUGGUAGAGCUAAAAGGUUACAACACAAUUGAUAAAGCAAUUAACCAAGAAAAACAAAUGCAUGAACAAAUAUCAAGAAACAGGGAAGCUCCCAAAUUACAAAUUCAACCCUAUACAAGAUAUUCUAUGUUACAGAAUGUGCAUUCAAUAUAGAAGAGUAAAAAUAUGGUUAAAUUCUAA